rnacentral:tRNA from 1 species
GGGGGUGUAGCUUAGUGGUAGAGCGCUUGCUUAACACGCAUGAGGCACUGGGUUUGAUCCUCAGCACCACAU